AAGUCGUAACAAGGUUUCCGUAGGUGAACCUGCGGAAGGAUCAUUAAUGAGUUAGGGUCUCCGGGCCCGACCUCCAACCCUUUGUCGUUACAAAACCACUUCGUUGCUUUGGCGGGACCGCCAGGGAAAACCCCCCUUCACCGGGGGGGCGGAAACUGGCUGUCGGUCUUCGGCCCGGCAUGUCGCCCGCCAGAGGUAAACCAAACUCUUGUUAUUCAAACCGUACGUCUGAGUAAAAAUGAUUUAAUCGAUCAAAA
rnacentral:misc_RNA from 1 species